UACGAAGGGGGCUAGCGUUGUUCGGAAUUACUGGGCGUAAAGCGUGCGCAGGCGGCUUCUCAAGUCAGGGGUGAAAGCCCGGGGCUCAACCCCGGAAUUGCCUUUGAGACUGCAUCGCUAGAAUUGUGGAGAGGUAAGUGGAAUUCCGAGUGUAGAGGUGAAAUUCGUAGAUAUUCGGAAGAACACCAGUGGCGAAGGCGACUUACUGGACACAUAUUGACGCUGAGGUGCGAAAGCGUGGGGAGCAAACAGG
rnacentral:rRNA from 1 species